UGUUUAAGAAACACAUUUAUACCUCCUCAGUGAGCCAGCUGCCUGUGGCUUGCCAGUUGAUCCUGUCCUCCCACCAGCGCUGUCUAUUUUGCUUCUUGGGAUUUAGGUGCCUAUCAAACCAAGAUGUCUUCUGAGGAGGAAGUAAGUUUUUCUUUCUUGAUUUCUUUUACAUAAAAGAAUUGUGUGUUCAAAAUGGCCAUGUUACAUGAUAGGCAUCUGCUAUCUUCCUGGGUUUCAUUUUGGUGAGAAGCUUG